AGCGAACGCUGGCGGCAGGCUUAACACAUGCAAGUCGAACGCCCCACAAGGGGAGUGGCAGACGGGUGAGUAACACGUGGGAACGUACCCUUUGGUUCGGAAUAACUUGGGGAAACUCAAGCUAAUACCGGAUAAGCCCUUAUGGGGAAAGGUUUACUGCCGAAGGAUCGGCCCGCGUCUGAUUAGCCAGUUGGUGAGGUAAUGGCUCACCAAGGCGACGAUCAGUAGCUGGUCUGAGAGGAUGAUCAGCCACACUGGGACUGAGACACGGCCCAGACUCCUACGGGAGGCAGCAGUGGGGAAUAUUGGACAAUGGGGGCAACCCUGAUCCAGCCAUGCCGCGUGAGUGAUGAAGGCCUUAGGGUUGUAAAGCUCUUUUACCCGGGACGAUAAUGACUGUACCGGGAGAAUAAGCCCCGGCUAACUUCGUGCCAGCAGCAGCCGCAG
rnacentral:rRNA from 1 species